GCGAAGAUAGUGCAGUUGGUUAAGCUCGCUUUCCGCAAAAGGUUAAAUGUGGGUUCGAGUCCCGCCUGACGUCAAGUUUUUGCA